rnacentral:misc_RNA from 1 species
AAGGAUCAUUACCGAGUGAGGGCCCUCUGGGUCCAACCUCCCACCCGUGUUUAUCGUACCUUGUUGCUUCGGCGGGCCCGCCUCACGGCCGCCGGGGGGCUUCUGCCCUCGGGCCCGCGCCCGCCGAAGACACCAUUGAACGCUGUCUGAAGAUUGCAGUCUGAGCAAUUAGCUAAAUAAGUUAAAACUUUCAACAACGGAUCUCUUGGUUCCGGCAUCGAUGAAGAACGCAGCGUAGCCACACCGAUGUGGAAGUAAAAGUCGUAACAAG